rnacentral:rRNA from 1 species
GACGAACGCUGGCGGCGUGCUUAACACAUGCAAGUGGAGCGACGAACCGGGCUUCGGCCCGGGGCAGAGCCGCGAACGGGUGAGUAACACGUGGGUAACCCACCCCGAUGAUUGGGACAACCCGAGGAAACUCGGGCUAAUACCAAAUGUGCCCAUUCUCCGCAAGGAGUCUGUGUAAAGGUAGCUUCGGCUUCCGCAUCGGGACGGGCCCGCGGCCCAUUAGCUUGUUGGUGGGGUAACGGCCUACCAAGGCGACGAUGGGUAGCUGGUCUGAGAGGACGAUCAGCCACACUGGGACUGAGACACGGCCCAGACUCCUACGGGAGGCAGCAGUGGGGAAUCUUGCGCAAUGCGCGAAAGCGUGACGCAGCAACGCCGCGUGGGGAAGAAGGCUUU